CCGUAUAUGCCUAUAAAAGGGGUCUUCUCCUUCGUGGCGGUCGCUGCCUCGCCUCCUCGAUCGCCUCCUCGCCCUACUGUCCCAUCUACCCUAGCCUUUCAACUCCGAUCUUUUGUCCGUGUGGAGCUGGUGGCAGGCGUACGGCCAAGGAGACGAAGCAACGGCGGCGUGCCACCGCCACCUCCGAUGCACAGCAGCCACGGCACCACCGGCACAAGAUUCGCUUGGGGAGCACAGCCGUCGAGCAAGAGAGGCCCACCGGCCAUGGCCGACCGGACAGAUUAGAGGCGAGGUAGAUUCUGCCGGCAAGGCCCUCUUCCUUUUCUCAUGUUCUGCGUGAUCUGAGGCGGGAGGCGCUGAAUCCUUCCCGAUUGGCCUUCUUCCUCCUCGAUUUGGCCCUUCUUUCCGGCCUCCGCUCAUCUCCGGCCCGUUAUCGUUCGGUUCCCGUGACCCGUCCACCCAUGGAAGACCGCGGCCCCGCAUCCUCUGAACGUCGCAAUUCUUCUCCACGAAGAUUGUGCCCUUCAUAGUCCGACGGGGCUUCGUGCUCUUCCUGCACGAGGAAAAUAGCAUAUGGUGUCGUCCAUGGCGUCGUCGCUAACUCUAGCACGUCAGAGAUGACGGGCCACCUGACAACGAGCUCAAUUGCUCUGAACUUCAGCCUGCAUUGCUUGUACCUUUUUAUUCAGAUGUCCAAUUCUUAUUUUCUGAUGUGUUGUGUGAAGGUUUAUGGCGAGGAGAGGAGAAGUGGUCGUUCGGGUUCUGCGAGAAUGGCAUGUGUGCAGGUAACUCGGAAAUUCCGGAUUUCGGUAUUCUAUUUACAUCCGAGAUGAGGAGAAGAAGUGUUGCACGGUCAUAUUUUAUUUCAGAGUUAAUAUUCCAUAAUUGUAUGAUGAAUAGAACCUGAACAUUGAAAGUGGCACUUGCAAAACACAAAUUUUCAGUUUUGAUUGAUACUUUAUGAAAGAAUAUGUUGGCGGACAUGGCAAUACAGUUUCAUAUCAAAAACCACUCCAAUUGAAGUAUUUGUGGUAAGAAUAUACUAACUGUCUGGGCCUCUGGAUGUAGUUAGCCUCAUCUGUAAUAUAUUUGCGCUUCAUACAUAUACUAACUAAAUGUUGCACGGUUGAUCUAAAAAAAAGUAGCACUACUGAUCUACUGUAUGUAAGUAUUGCAGGUUCAUGUACACUAUUGUUUGAUAAAUUGGUGGCAAAUAGCUGUGUGAGCUUCAUUUGGUCAGGUAUUUUUUGAUAUCCUACUUUCAUCUGGUAUAACUGCAUGGGCUGUAAUUGUUUACUGCAUUUUGCAUGACAUACUUUAUUACUGUAUCGUAUAUAUUACUUGUAUUUUUUGUGUUUUCUUAUUGCUUCUUUGCUACUGAUUUCGCCACAACAAAUUUUAUUUUGUUCUCUGGCGCAAAACCUUUACUUGACCUGAUUUGUCAAGCUAUCCAGCUAUUGUCUUAUAUAUUACUCCCUCCGUCCCAUAAUAUAAGAACGUUUUUCACACUAGUGUAGUGUUAAAAACGUUCUUAUAUUUUGGGACAGAGGGACUAUAACACAAAAUGCCAUGUUAGAAUGACCCUUGAUUUCAUCAGACCCGGAUGGUUUUAGUUUGUCAUGAUGGUUGGCGAAGUAGCUUCUGACCAAGCUAUACUAUGAUGAUGAGUAAAGUCAACAUUUUUGUUGUUGCAAGGAUCACAGAGAAAGAAAUCACUAUUCAAUAGACAGUUGAUUGAUCUUCUGUAGCAUCUUUCUUAUAAAUUAGUUUUGUUCAUAGCCAGUUCCUCUUUCCAGGUUGUUUCGACUGCAUGAUGCAUGAGACAUGGAUUCCUAAGGAUUGUUCAAGUGCAUUCAGUGUUAACGGAUGGAACACAGAUUAGCCUUGGCCACAAUGAGCAGGUGAGUCUAAUCAUCUUGCAUCUUCGUUACAUCUCAUGCAUCACUCUCUUUUUUAUUUCCUUGUCUCCUCUGAUUUCUUAGAAAAGAACCACAUGUUGUUACUUGAAAGAGGCAAAGGUCUCAAAGAUCUCAAAGUUCCUUCUUCAUUUUUUAGGUUGGCAGUCCUAAACUUCACACAAGUAUGUUCUCUUGUGUCCACAGAAGGAGUACAAUAUGGGUGACUGCAGGUACGUCCCCAGGGACACCGCUACGUGACUGUUGAAGGAAUCACAGUUGUGCUGGAAGGUCCUGCCUUCCUGCUUGCUGUGUCUGCCUUCUCAUCUUAUUUUAUGAUCGUUUAUGUGAAGAAGCAGCAGCAACUUGAUUUGUUUUCUUGCGUAGUAAUAUGUGAGCUGCAUUUGCAGACAUAUAUGGGUCAAGUCACUCUUUGUUAGUUAGAUGUUGUUAGUGUUUUUCUAUCAGACAUGGUUCUGCAAUGGGGUUGACUGCCUAAGGCUCACUCAGAUUUUGGACUUGCUUAAUAACUGCUUCCUUUCAUUAAGAUGUGAGGUCCUAUUCCCAAUGACAGAGCAUCAUCGCCCUCUGAACUAAUGUUCAUGCGAGUUAAUUGUUUGAUUUUGUUGAACCAUGCAAGAUCAAAAUUUGAUGAAGCCAUGCAACUGGUAGAUGCAUCAACAAAGCAUAUAUUUGCAGUGUUCCGAAGUACCGUGUUCCUUCUUUGCUCAAUAAAAUUUAGUGUUGUAUUUGCCUGGUAUAAGAAAGAUAGCGCAAUGCCGACAGAUAGAGCUUUAUUUGCCGGGUAUUAAUUUACACACAGCAGGCUGAGGAGAACACAGAUGCACGGCCAGCUGCGCGGAUUAGCCGAUGGAACCAAUAACAGGGGAAAGGACGGAAAAUAGGAAGGAGAUGGUCAGAUUGGCAGCUAAUCAAUUGUUUUUAGUCAGCACUAGAGAAUUAAUGAAUGCAUGAUGUACAAUUUUCUCUGAUUUUCUAACAAAUGUGAAAUGUUGCUCAACUAAUAUUUCAGAUGUAAAUUAAUAUUCAGUCGCAGAAAUUGAUAUAUGUACUUCCUUCAUUUUCUGCUAUCUUUUUCUACUAUGUGUUCAUGCCUUCAAGUCCAGAUAGACAACUUCAUAACAAUUGUUCUUGCAAUUUAGAUCUAUUUUGUAUUUUUUCUACAAAUUAAUACAAUGAAAGUUUACUUGAAAAGAUUGUAUGAAUAGCAUAAGCA
rnacentral:lncRNA from 1 species